GUGAAAUUUAUAUAAAAUAUUAGUAAUUCUUUUAUGAUUUAUAGGGACUAAAAAAUUUAGGAAAAAGACCAGGAUUAGAUACCCUGUUAUUCUAAAUUAUAUCAUAAAUAGGGUAGUAAAAGUUAUUCUUCAAACCCAAAGAUUUUGGCGGCACUUUAACCAAAUAGAGGAGCUUGCCCCAUAAUCGAUAGACCUCGUUUAAUCUUACCUUAAUUUGCUUAGCUUGUAUACCGCCGUUGUCAGAUUACUCUAAAAGGAUGUUUUCUAGAAAAAAAAUUUUUUAACUUCAGGUCAAGGUGCAGUUUAUGUUAAGGUGGAGGUGAGCUACAAUUCUGUUAAGAAAACGGAUGUUUAUUUUAAAAUUAAUGGAAGGUGGAUUUAUUAGUAAGUUAAUUUNAGUAAA
rnacentral:rRNA from 1 species